rnacentral:lncRNA from 1 species
AUGCCCUCAACCUCAGCAGUGCCAACGCCCCCAAGGGGACAAUCACUUUACAGAGGAGGACCCGAGGCACAAGGAACUUGCCCAGCUCAAUCUGAGCUGCACCUGAGCCUGGAGCUGACAGAGGCAUCAGGAGAGACAGCUAGGACUUGGGAUGGUUGGGACCCUGCCUCUGGCAUCCUCAGGCCCCACAGGUGGCCUCGGGGAGCACAGGUCUCCAGCUCCACUCUGGCUGGUGCACAGACCACGACUCAAGGGCUCAGGAACGCCUUGGCCUUGCCUGCGCUCCAGAUCCAGUCACUUGGACCUCCUGCUCCUGCUCUGGCCUUGUUCCCGCGGUUACUCUCUUUGCUCCACGCCAGCUCCUCCAGGAAGCCUUCCCUGAAGGAUCCGGGCCUGCGGGAGCCUCUUUGCUGUAGGAAGAUCCCACCUCUGGGUUCUUUCAGGCCUGACCACCUGUCAGGCAGCACCUGGCAGCCAGGAGCACACAGCAGCCAGCCCCUUCCAGGGGGCAGAGUCACAGCCAUCCCCAUGUCACAGGGGACCAAGGCCCAGCAAGCAGGGCCUUCCUCGCUGUUGAGCCCCAGGUCUGGUGUCAAGGUGCCUUGUGGUGUGUGGAGGGGCCUCAGGAGAGCCAGGCUGGGGUGGGUUAGGGGACUGCACUCCCCAGGUUGUGAGAGCGGCUGGUCCCUAAAGGCCCCAGCCCGGGCCUUAGGGUGGCAGGAAUGGGUGGAGGCUGAGGAGGUGGGGCCAGAGGAGAGCACUAGGCCCAGGUGGACCUGGGAAGCAGGCUGUGGGCGGCAGCCAGUGGCCCUGCAGGCUUCCCAGUCUUCAUCCUUAGAGCAGCAUCGAGGUCCAAGUCUGUCAGAGUGGGGUGGGGGCCCAAGGCAGAUGCCCUGCCCGCCGGCUGAGGACUUGGAGACCAUCCUGUCUGCUGUCUGCUUCAAUCUGCAGCUCCACACCCCAGAUCCCACUGCCAGCCGUGCCCUGUCACAUCCUCUUCAGCCCUUGUGACACUGUGUCCACAGUUCCUGAGAUGCUUCCAGGUCCUCCUCAGUGCAUGGCUGUCAUAAGACAGAGUGAGGACAGGAGGGGAGUGCGGAGCUCCCGGGUAAGGAGACCCCACGUCCCAUGGGCACGGCUGGUGUUCUUCCCGACAUGGCCCACUGGGCAGCCUGCUUGGCCCUCACCCUAGCUGAGUGCCAUCUGGGCAGGACGCAGGCCCUGUGGUCGUCGUUGAGGGGAGGGAAGGGGUGGAGCUCGGAGUUGACUCCCGUGGCUGAACUGGGACUGAACGGAACCACUUGGAAAUGAGGUGCCAGCUCCUGGGAGAGGCGAGUGGCUGCUGCCCCCAGAGGCCAUGGUGGGUACUGCACCCAGGUGUGUGGUCCCCGGGGAGCCUGGAGGCACUUGUCCGAGGCCAGGCGGUGGGGACACUGGUGACUCUGAUCUUGGCUGCCCGACAAGAGGACUGGUGCAUCUCUAACCCACUGCAGAAAUCGGGCUUGUCAGCCAAGGUGUACACUGCUAGUGGAAAUACCCAGAAACGGUGGAAUAAAGAUGUUCCAGGACUACGGUUGAAGUUUGAUCAUCAACAAACCCAGACUACAAGAAACAUCCAGGGCAGAAACGUCCUGGCUAAAAGGAAAUCAUAGCAGGUGCCAACUUCGCUCUACAAGAGCAAGGGCAGGGCCCCGGGAAUCCCAAGUAUGUGGGUGUCUAGGCGAGGUGCUUUCCUGGGCUGUAACUUUUUCUUCGAAAGAUAUUGUUUAAAGGAACAUGUAUUACAAUAAAAGCACAAAAUGCGGGCAGAGAC